CCUUCGGGUUGUAAAGCACUUCGGACGGAACGAAAUCGCACGGGUGAAUAUCCCGUGUGGAUGACGGUACCGUAAGAAGAAGCACCGGCUAACUACGUGC
rnacentral:rRNA from 1 species